GCCUUUCUUCGCGUCCAGGGACGCCCCUGCAGCCCUUCCCUCCGGGCCCUCCCCAGCCCGGGGCUCGAACCGUUUCCCUAUUCCCAGGCCUAGGGUGCCGCCGCCAGUGUGAGGCGUGGGAAAUAAGGGCGUGGGGGGCUGGAAUGAAGCCACUGCCCGCAGCAGGUUUUGAGAGAUCCCUGGCUACAGAAACGGCCCGUCUCGGGGUCCUGACACCACCGCGUCCUGGCAGGUGGGGCUGUCAGACCGCCCCCCGCAGAGCCUCCAGCUUCCCCGGGCCUUGGCUACCGUCCGCGGGCCUGUGGCGAUGGAGAGGCGCUGCCGGGACAUCUUCCCGCACCCCUGGGAGCAGCGCCCGAGGAUCUGAGGAGCCCUUUAUUCUGCGGUUUCGGUUACGUAAACGGAGCCCAGGGAGCGACAUGGCUGACAAGGCCAAGCCCGCCAAAACUGCCAACAGGACACCCCCCAAGUCUCCGGGGGACCCCUCGAAGGACCGGGCGGCCAAGAGGCUGUCGCUGGAAUCGGAGGGUGCCAGUGAGGGGGCAGCCGCAUCCCCCGAGCUCAGUGCCCUGGAGGAGGCCUUCCGGCGCUUUGCGGUGCACGGGGACACCAGGGCCACCGGGAGGGAGAUGCACGGCAAGAACUGGUCGAAGCUGUGCAAGGACUGCCAGGUGAUCGACGGCAGGAACGUGACCGUCACUGACGUGGACAUCGUCUUCAGCAAGAUCAAAGGGAAGUCUUGCCGGACCAUCACCUUUGAGCAGUUCCAGGAGGCGCUGGAGGAGCUGGCCAAGAAGCGAUUCAAAGACAAGAGCAGCGAGGAGGCCGUUCGCGAGGUGCACAGGCUCAUCGAGGGCAAGGCGCCCAUCAUCUCAGGGGUGACGAAAGCCAUCUCGUCGCCCACAGUGUCGAGGCUCACGGACACUACCAAGUUCACGGGCUCCCACAAGGAGCGCUUCGACCCCUCUGGCAAGGGCAAGGGCAAGGCUGGCCGUGUGGACCUGGUGGACGAGUCGGGCUAUGUGUCCGGCUACAAGCACGCGGGCACCUACGACCAGAAGGUGCAAGGGGGCAAGUAGCCCCCGCUCCAUGCCCCGUGGCACUGCCGGUGUCCCCGGAGCAGGGACUCUGUCACCUCGCACUUCAUUACAUUCCUGUGCUCACUCGGGCAGAACUCAGACGGGUGCCCCAGAGGGGGCUGGGGGGAGGCCAGGCCCAGACCUCCCUCCUGCCCCUCCUCCUGCCGGAUGCCCCCAGUACUCCCCUCUCAAACCAGGUUUGGGCCCCAGUUCACUGACCCUCCUAAUACACCUGCCUCGUCCUCAGCCAUUUCCAAAGUGUCUCCCGGAUCACACCACACUGGGCACGUGGUUUGCAUGUCAAAGGGGCGUUUUAAAGGAGCUGGCUGUCAUGGCAACAGGAGGCUGUGCUGACCUCCUGAGUGGCAGACACCUUCCAGGAGCCCUGAGGGCGGCAGGAGCUAACCCCAACCAGCAGGCAACCAACACGGAGUUGGCCCCACACCCGAUGUGGGAGGUGUGUGUGGGGCCCGAGGCCUGUCCUGCGUGCAGCGGGCACCACGGGGCCUUCCUGCUUUCCUGGGCAGAGGGCAGAGUGAGGCCACCUGGCGGUGGUGCUGGGCGCCUGGCACACGUGUGGGGAAGCCGGUCACAUGGACACACGUGUGCACACAUGCCUACAGGCCAGCUCUGUGCCAAGGGCAACCUCGGUAAAACGAAAGCUGUGGGGGGCAGUGGGCGGCUUCCUGGCUGACCACAUUGGCUUGGACUGUGAGGGUGGAGCAGGCUCGCUUUGCUUUCCUGAGAAGAUGUGGUGGCUGCCUGUGUUCUCAGAGCGGGUCUGGGAAGAUUCAGAAUGUCUGGUCCCCGUGGUGUUGCCAGGCAAGAGACACGAAGUCCCAAGACGCUCCUCGCCUCACUGCGUGACAGGGCCUCUGCCUGGCCCUCCCGCUCGCCCGUCCUCGCUAGCUGCACCGUUUGCUCACAGACCUCCCAUUGCCACAGCCCAAGCACCUCCUUCAACUCUCCGGAAAUGGCUUGGCCUAACCUCUCCUGCUCCCCCCCACCCCACCGGAGAGCAGGACAUUAGGGAGGACCCCCAGGCCUGCAGUGUCUGUGGGGGUUUCUCUGCCAGCAGGGGGCUGAGCAGAGCCCAUCCAGGACACUCCACACUGCCAGAACACACCCAGGCGGCCCGCCCUUACCUGUCUGCACCUGGGGAGAAGCCGGCGCUCCUGCUCCCUCCUGGGGAGGCUGAGGGUGUGGCCACCCGCUGUCAGAAUGGCACACUGCCACUGUCCCUUGGCACGCACACAGCCACAGCCGCACGUGUGACCUGCUGGGCCGUGGUUCUGGAGUCUACCUGCGGAUGAGCCUGCGGCAGUCUUGGGGAAACUCUUCCAGAGCCUGUUAGCCCGUGGCUACGGUCAGGCUCUGGCCAGGGCAGGGGGCUGCCCAGGGCCAGGCUCACAGUACAGGAGGACGGCGAGGCCCCUCCCUCACUGACAUGCAUGAGCGCCACCCGCCUCCCCUGACUCCCGAGUGCACCUGCUGCGGCCACAGCCCCAGCAGCAGGACUCCCCUGCUGGAGGAGUGGAAGGACUCCCCCUGUCUGAGCAGAGCAGGAGCCCCAGGGCGGAGCUCCCAGCCAGCAUGGUCCACUGAGGGCUGGGGGUCUCCGAGGCCCCUCAACAGAGAAGCCUCCACCUGAGGAAGGGGAGGACCUGGCAGGCAGCUUCCAUGGCAGGGCUGGGAAGUUCAUGAUGCCUGGCAAUAAAGACCGAGGAAAAAUGGACCUCAGGCUUCGUGGCUCCUUUAAGAUGUCACCUCACCGGCCUGGGGAAGGCGGGGGGUGCCCAAGCCCAGCCCUGUGCCCCCGCUGAACCUGGCUGGACCGCGUGUGAAAGGCAGAACGUGCGGAAACAUUUGAAAACAACUCUGAAUGUGCAGUGCGGAAUCGCCCGAUCACAGACGAACGGUCCCCGGAAUCGCCCGAUCACAGACGAGCGGUCCCCGGAAUCGCCCGAUCACAGCCCAUCACAGCUCCAAAGCCCUUGUGUUGAAGAGGCCGAGGACGAGUGCUCACCAAACAGCGUUACACCCUCAGACUCCUGCCCUCCUCGGCCUCCCUGGCCCCAGCGCGGCUCCACCCUGGGCUGCAUCUCCUGGUCCCAGGCUGCGUUUCUCCUUUUCUUCUGUCCGUGGGCAGCCCGGUCCCCACAGUCACGGCCAAGCCACGCAGAACGAACGUGACUCCAGAGGACCUCGCCCUGGAGCUGAGCCUGGCGCCGGGUCAGGACGGAGGGACAGGCGGGUUGGGGUCCGCGGGUCCUCACACCGCACGGCAGGCACAGAGGCUCGCCGGGCCCUGGUCUGGUCUGUGGGGACAAGGGACACUGAGGAGAGGUGCUGGGCACCAGGACGCUGCCUCCUGGUCCCUGGUUGGCCUCAGGCAAGAACGGCCUCGAGAAAAGAGCCAAGCGCAUCGGGAGCACACCAGAAACCAGCCCUGAACACGAGAAGCGCCUCUGCCCGGCCCGGGCACCACCCGACCUCGCAGGGAGCAGGCCCUGUCACCGACGGGUCACCUCGUCCACGCGGCCAGCACCGACUCACCACAGCCCUUCCCAGACCCGGCUGGAGUGGCCGGAGCGGCGGGACUCGUGGCUCCCAUCUUGGCCCCUGGAGGUGAGCUCCUUCACAGAAGUGCUCCCUUCACUGAGGAAAAUCGCGGCGUGCAUCCCGAAUCCUAGGACACGCCUGUGGGUUUCGUGAAUGAGAUCGAGGCUGCUGUGGCACCCAGCCCGUCCUAGCCUGGAGCACCCUGGGAUCCUGGAGGGAGAGGCCCCACGCCCCCACUCUCCCUCCACACUUCCAGGGUUGGUGCCCACAAGUCAGAGGCACGGCCUCCCUGGUGUCCCGCCCUCCCCCAACGGCCCCCAGGCUUUCCUCAGACACGCGGGAGCCAGGAGAGCACCCUUCUCCACUCGGCUCCAAAGCGAAUCUUUGAAAACACCCACUCGGCUCCCAUCUCUGUCACCUAGCCAGGAGGGGUAGCAAAAAUAAAGUCACGAGGACAUAGCGGUCACCAUUGUCAGUUACAACUUGUCUGUGGAAUCUGUAAUUGCAUCUGUGUGCCACCUCCAAACACAAAACAGUUUGGACGGCAGCCCCACUGCACAUAACAGACCCGUGCAUCUUCCUCAGUUUCUGAAUAUUGUGAAUUCAGGCAGGUGUGUGUUCUCUUCUGCAUGUUUUUAUGCACUGCCAACUAGCUUCUACUAACCAUGGUUCAACAGAAAAUAAAUGUGUAUUUGUGAAUAACAAACUGCACAGCCUGCAAACCAGGAGAGAGGGACAGGUUCUGUCAGGGGUGACACCAGGACACAGGGACAGGUUGUCAGGGGUGACACCAAGAGAGAGGGAUAGGUUCUGUCAGGGUGACACCAGGACACAAGGACAGGUUCUGUAGGGGCAACAGGAGGACACAGGGACAGGUUCUGUGGGGGAUGACACCAGGAGAGAGGGACAGGUUCGGGGGGGGGGUGACACCACGAGAGAGGGAGAGGUUCUGUCGGGGGUGACACCAGGAGAGAGGGACAGGUUCUGUCGGGGGUGACACCAGGAGAGAGGGAGAGGUUCUGUCGGGGGUGACACCAUGACACAGGGACAGGUUCUGUCGGGAGGACAGCGCUGGUCGUGUCUCAGCAUCAGGAAAGGAGAAAGCAGAGGGAGAGCGUUGAGAAGACUGUUCGCACCAGAGUACUUAUUUAUUUUUAUUUACUGCUAUAGGAUAAGCAACCAGGUAGUGUUCAUAACAGUUAGCGUUACCAAAAUUGAAGUUCAAAUUAUAUGUUUAAAAUAUUGUAGCAGAAGAUCUAUAUUUAUACUGGACUAUUUUUACACCUUCUAAUAUCCUGUCCAAGUUUGGGCGCAGAUGGUGGUGUUGGGCUGGCGUCAUGUCCUGUGGCUGUCCCACUUGCCUGUUGGUGCCGCUCCAUCCCGGGCCCUAGGGAUGCCAGCUCAGGGCCGACCACAGCAGCCCUGUGUGGGCGUCACCUCCUACCCCAGCCCCCGUCCUGGGCUGCUGCAGCUGCCUGCUUUUGUGAAUGGUGUUUUGUUGGCACAGGGCCUGUCCUGUGUGUUCACACAUGCCUGUGGCUCCUUCUGCUGUACAACUGGAGUGGGGAGGAGUUGAGAUGGAGAUGCCUUGGCCCUGGACACUUAUCUGUCCCUCUACUGGCCUAGCUCAUCUCCUCCUGUGGGCAAUCACGCGUGCACUGGCCACCCUCCCACCCCACAGCACACACCACGAGGGGAUGGCCCAGGGGGAGGGUGAGGCUGGACCGUGAUGUUAUCAAUAGGCUAGAAUGUCCUUCAAACACUGAACCUGCAUCUUUCCUCCUCUUACUACUGAAUACUUUGUGAGCUCUGGUGAUCCAGGGUGCAGCGUCUGUCCCCAGGCAUGUGAUGGGGAGUCCUGGGCACAUCGAGAUGCUUUACUUCUUUCUUUUGACCUCUUAAAAAACUAAACCAAGCCAAACCACAAAGGAAAUCUGCACAACUUAAGAGAAACUUGAAAGGGAUCGUGUAACUACUAGUUUGUACUAAGUUUUUUUCAAGAAAGGGAAACAAAUUUAUAUAUAUAUAUAUAUGUGCGAUAUAUUUUUACACUGCGUGAUUAACAUUAGGGAGUACUGAGCGCACCACUUUAUCAGUGUGACGGGUGAUGUCCACGUCAUGGCUGUUCUGACUCUGAAAGGCACUUCUGCCGACGUCUAAACCGCACUCACUGGGGACGUCCGCGGGCUGGGGUGGCCCUGCUGUCCCUCCUGCAGGUGAGAGGCGUGGUGUUGCUGUUGAGCCUGGCUUGCAAACCUGUAGUGAAACAGCUCGUGUCUGUGUGCACACUACCCCUGCGUCUGCUGUCGUUAACAUUGUGUGUCAAAUUGGUAAAGUGACAAAUAAAGGUGUUAAAACAUGGA